AACGAACGCUGGCGGCAUGCCUAACACAUGCAAGUCGAACGAGACCUUCGGGUCUAGUGGCGCACGGGUGCGUAACGCGUGGGAACCUGCCCUUAGGUUCGGAAUAACUCCCCGAAAGGGGUGCUAAUGCCGGAUAAUGUCUUCGGACCUAAGAUUUAUCGCCUUUGGAUGGGCCCGCGUUGGAUUAGCUAGUUGGUAGGGUAAAAGCCUACCAAGGCGACGAUCCAUAGCUGGUCUGAGAGGAUGAUCAGCCACACUGGGACUGAGACACGGCCCAGACUCCUACGGGAGGCAGCAGUGGGGAAUAUUGGACAAUGGGCGAAAGCCUGAUCCAGCAAUGCCGCGUGAGUGAUGAAGGCCUUAGGGUUGUAAAGCUCUUUUACCCGGGAUGAUAAUGACAGUACCGGGAGAAUAAGCUCCGGCUAACUCCGUG
rnacentral:rRNA from 1 species